AUUUUAAUAGCUUAAGAUAAAGCGGAGCGUUGAAGGUGCUUAGUUCAUAUAAAUUGUUAAAAUA
rnacentral:tRNA from 1 species